rnacentral:lncRNA from 1 species
UCUCAGUCUAUGAACAGAGAGCUGGCACUCCUCACACCCUUGUUGUAGUAAUUGUAACUCAUUCUCAGGUAUCGUCACUCUGACUGUGACGGCGUCCCACUUCCAUCCGGACGUCAUCACCUUCCGCUGGUUCUGCGAGGGGGGCGAGCUGUGCCCGGUUGCUGCCCCCCCAGGCCUCAGUGCUCCUCGCCCAGAUGCCCAGGGCUUCUUCUCAGCUAUGAGCCAGUGCAGACUGCCCAAAGCCGAGCUGGAGAGAGGAAGAACCACCGUCUGGGUCACCAUCCACCACAUGUCCCUCAAACAGCCAAUCACUCGCAAGACCAGAGGGUUCAUAAAGAGGCCUACCGUCUCAGAAAUCCACUGCACUCCAUCUUUCCCCGACCAGGGACCUCUGACCCUGACCUGCGACAUCUCAGACUUCUACCCUCCUGAUGUCUCUGUUAAAUGGCUGAGGAGAGGAAGGAACGAGGGAGAUGAGCAGGAGGUGGAGGAGGCAGGAGCAGAGGGGGAAGAAGGAGUUAAGGGGGCAGCAGAAGUCUGGGGGCCGAUCCAGACUCAGCCGAGGGCGUUCCGGGCCACGGCUCUCCUGAAGGAGGUGGAGAACGUGCUGAAGGAGAUGGAGGAGGGUGGAGAGAUUGUGUGCAGGGUGGAGCACUGUGCACUACAGGAGCCCGUGGAGAGAGUCUGGAGGAAAAAUUGCAUGGUGGCUCCCUCCAUCCCUCUCUCUCUGUCUGUGAACUGGAGGAAUGACGGGGUUGGCGUGUUCUCCCUGUGCAUGUCCGCUGGUGUCCCUCACCCUAAGAUGCUCUGGGCUGCUGGCGGUUCCUCUCUAACACAGCUGAUCUCCAGAGAGAAGGAGAAGGAGGCUGAGAGCGGAGCGAGGGAGCUGCUGAGCGUCUGUGCUCUGGUGAAGUCAGAAGGACCUCAGAGAUCAGAGCCCCACCCACACAGUCGCAGGAACGGACAUCUAAACGGCUCUCAGUUUCCUGUGUUCUGUAAUGAAGUGGAGAAUGGACACACUGAUCUGAGGGAAAGAGAACAGGAGAACCACACGGAAACAGCUGAAGAGAAAUGGACACAAACCUCAGAGGCAGAAACUGAAGAUGGAGAGACAGAACCGGAGUUCUCCUACAUAAACACGGUGAACGUGAGGAGAGAGGGGCGGCGGGGGGAGAAAGAGCGCCUUCGAGUGGUUGUGGAGAUAACCCAUCCUGCACUGAGCCUGCCUGUGUACCGCACCUGGACAGAGCCUGACGAGGAAGUAUCGUCCUAAUGCAUCAACAUUAAAAUGUUUCUCCAUGUGUUUAUUUAUACUGAAUAUAAAAUUAUUAUUAUCUAAACCUAUUUUUUUAACUUUACCAUUUAGCAUUUUCAUUUUCUUUUUUUUUUUCAAGUAUAAUGUUCCAGUUUUCCUGCUAAUAAUGUAACUUCUGUUACAAAAGUACCAGUAAUGAAGUGAGUCUUCAUAAAGCCUCCAGCGUUUGGACUGAAGAAUGUUGAGAAGCUCAGCAGCUUGGGUUCCUCCCCUGCUGAAAUGUUGUGGCAUGUUGAAGGAAUUUAUUUCCUUCAGCAAUAUUUAAAAUGACUGUGAGGAUACGGUGCAGAAUAUCAGAUAUGCAGAUAUCAGAUGUAUUAUGUUGUUUUGUACAUAAUGGUAUAAAUUAACACAAAUUAACUCUGUGAUAUGUUGUCUGUGUAAAUAAACUGUCUACAUUUGCUACCUAUCUAGCUAAA